CUUGGGACAAUAGCUAUAACGUGAAUUUGGAAAAAUCACCAUAAAUUGUGGGAGUGGACAUAGAAGCUGAAUAAAUUAUGUAAUUAAAGCUUAAUGAGUCUAGUUUCAAAUGAAAUCAACGAGAACGUAUUUUGACUUCUGUACAAUUAGAAAUUUGAUUCGUAGUAAAGAGUGGUCAGAUUAGUCAAACACUGAAACAG
rnacentral:lncRNA from 1 species